UCCGCCCGCUGCUGCGCCGGGCGCGUGCGCGGGCCGCGCGCUCCCGCUCGGGGUCGCCCCCCCCAACGUCAGGCUCUAGAGCCCCGCCGGUCGCCGGCGCCUGAGGGGUAGCGCGGGCUGCUCCCCCCGCAGCAGCGCGUACGCCUCGGCGGCGGCGCCCCAGCUCCGGGCUGCAGCUGUUGUUGCCAUGAUGAUGAUGUCACGGGCGCAACCACUCGGGGAGCGGCGGGGGGAGGACGCGGGGCUCACGCACACGCAUCCCGCCCCGGGAACGAGGGGAGGGGGGUGAGGAAAAUGUCCGCCCGCCGCUCUGCCCCGGCCGCUCCCUCAGGAAGGGGGCUCGGCGGCUCGGCGGCUCGGCGCUCGUCCGGGCGGGCUUGGGGCGAGGCUUGCGGAAGCCCGAGCCGCCGGUGGGGCGGACCGGGGAGCGCCGAUGCGCCGCCAUUGGGUUAAGGCGGCCCGGCCGCCAUUUUGGAUGCCGAGUCGCCUCGCUGCGGGAAGGUUUUACCUUGGCCUAACAUCAGAAGAACCUACCAGUGAAUGUGCGUACAAGAGAACACAUAAGUACUCAAGGAAACGAUAUCAUCUGAAAUGUAAAAAUGAAUAAAGAUUUUCACUUAAUUUUCUUUUGAAUCUGCCUUUGUGUUCUCAGUGGGACAUAAAAGAAUUAGUGAACUGCCUGAAUGCAGGGGAAGCUGAGGGAAAUCUCCAUCUGCAGUCAGUCUCCCCCAUUGCAAGAGGGGUGUUGGAUGUCAUUACGUGUCCAAUAAAGAUGGCUGAAUUCACUGAUUACUGCCUGAGUAGCAUAACAAUUCCUUAGAGAUUUGUUGCAGGAGGGAAGGGUUUAAGAUUUCUUCUAAGAAGAGACCUGUGCAUAUGAGGAUAUUUAUUAUACUUUGGGUUAAGAAUAAAAUGAUAUUUGCAGGUAUGCUUGAUUUAGGUGUAUAGUAAGAUGCAAACUGUUAUCACACUAUUGGCAACAUAUUUCAGUACAUGUAUAUAAGGACGUGUUUUACUUGUAUUAGCAAUGUAGGUUGUGUGUUUACAGCCUAACAACAGCUGUAAUCAUCUUCAUCUUGUUUUUUUUUUUAAUAUGUACAACACUUUGAAAUAUAACUUCCUCAGUAUACAUCACUAAGAAGAUAUUGCAGAAGCAAACACUUUAAGCAGAGGUGAAGCACUGUCGCUAACACAGACAGAACUACAGCAACUCUGUCUGUUCUAUCUGCAGUGGGAAACUUUGUUCAAAAAUGUUAAUUGAGUGGUUUUAAUUGAGUGCCAGAAAAUUGCUUCUGUGUGGUUGUUCCUGCUUAGAGAAUCCUCAAACUCAGUGUUUUCCAUUUUUCCUUGUUUCUUUCUUUCUUGGCUAGUAGUUGCUUCCAUCAAUUGGAUUUAUAAACUAUGAAUCUAAAGAAGAUAUGUUCUCUGGAGGAUUUGAUCCAGAUGUACAUUAUUACCUUUUUGAUAAAUAUCUUUUUAAGUACUUACAGUGAAGAAGGGUUUUUUGUUUUUUGCUUUUUGUUGUUGUUUGUGUGUGUGUGUGUGGGGGGGGGGGAGGUUAUUUGUUUUUUUAAUGUUUUAAUAUCCCAAGUAUCUUAUUAGCAGCCAAAUUAAUGCUGAAUAAAACCCCAGAAAAUUCAAUAGUAUUUCAGCAGGGAUUCAUUCAGCCCUUGGGUUUUGGGCUGUAUCGUAUUGCAAGCUCUUAAAAAUAAGAGUGUUUGGAAAGCUGCAGGCUUCCCAUCUUUUUGUCUGGAAAAGUUAUAAAAUGGAACAGGCAGGCUUUUCACUGAGCUGCUGAGAACGCAGUUCUGGCUGUGCAAUCAGGUCUAAAAAAGGAGCAAGAUCUGCACUAAAAAUAGAAAUGGAGGCUGAGCCAACUGCAGUGGGAGUUACAAUCCUUGCACAGCAAAGGGUUGGUAGGUUCAGCUGAGGACACUCAGUUACAGAAAAUCAAAUAAACUUCAUCCCGCUCCUGUAAAGCCAUCAUACCCUAACUGCUCUAACUGGAUUUUUAGCAGUCAGCAGAACUAUUAAUCAUUCCUGCAAAUUAACAUCUUCUUUCAGAUGCAGAAUUUUUCCAGAGAGAAUUAUAUUCACCCCACCGUAAGAGGGAAGUACGGGCUGGUUUCACAUAACUGUUUGGAGAACAUAGGGGCAAACUGCAUAGAUGUAAUGCACUUUCUCAUGGCUGGAGAAAUGCAUUAAUACUAUUCUUUUGAGCAUUAAGAUGAUGCGCCUGCUGAUAUUAUAGACUCCAGGUGGGCACGCUCUGCUGACUCAGGUAUCUUUCCAGGCCUUGGAACCCUGUCAUGGACUGCAGGCAUUCACAGUAGGUGCUUUGAGGGAGGGAGGUUACUCUGGUCAUUUCAAGAACAAAGUACAGAACACAGUAGGCCCUCUGCUGCAUCCUCUCCUGUCCUGCCUUAUCCUGUCUUUCACUGGGAGCGCAGUUCAGGAAGCGUUGAAGUGUUUUGGUCAUUUGAGACAUGGGAAAGCCUAGACAGCAGAAAGAGUAUGUGGAAGAAGGCCAAAAAAACAGAGAUCAUUAAACUUUCACAGGCCAAGUAAUGUAUAUGUUUGUAAAUUAUGAAUUAAUUACUUCAUUUUCCUUUCUUAUCUGCCUCCCCACCAGAAUAUCAACUAUGCUAUUUCUCAUGUCCAGACUCUUCUCCCAGCACCCAUAGUUUCAUCUCUUCCACAUUCCGUAUUGAGCACACAGUUUAGCAGAAGCUGAGAGCAGUUGCCCUGCAGAAGGACAUGAUCAGCACAAUGUUGCUGGCGAGGAAGAGGCAGCCUUCAUCUCCAGCUGAGUUCAGAAGGCUGUUGUUACUGUUGUUGUAUUACCAUUACUUAUGCUUAUAUUUGAAAAGCUGUAUUUUCUGGGAAAAAAAAAAAAGGAAUGCAUGCAGUCAAAGAAGGCAUAGAAAAGGGAUGAUGAUCAGAAAUGGCAGCAAGUGCUGAAAUAUCUAUCACUGUAUUUUGGUUGCAUGCAAAUCUUAGACUGUUUCAUUUACCAACUUUAGCUAAAUCUUUAUAAGACUACAUGGGGCUUUACUCUCAGUUAACUGAGGGCCAUUCAUGUCCAGUUUCUGUAUACCUUUAGCUGUUACUCUUUGGAACCAAUCAUUUGGUAUAAUAAAAAGCAGUGUAGCCCCAUAGUGCAGAUGUGGUUUUAUCAGUGACUUCGUGGAAAUAAGUUAGUGAUUAUGCUAAAAAAAAAAUAAGAAAUUAAUUUAAAAAAAAAUCACACCCAAUCCAAAGAAUUGUUAAAAUUAUGUAUGCAAAGAAAAAAAAAUAAUUUUAGUAACAUGCUUUAAGUAACUUCAUGUUGUAGAAAGAGGAAAAGUAUUACUUGAACACACAAUUUCAGGGACUUUUAAAAGUGUUGCUUAAGAUGGGGUGGAUUAUAGGUUAGGAAACCACAGUGACAGAACUGAACUGUUAACAGAUAACCACCUAAUUGAAUAUGAGCAGGUAUGCAGUUUUACCUUAGAUGCUUUUUCAUGAUUAAUCUUGAAUUUAAUUAUUAAGGUUAAUUCUGCAGUUCCUUACGCACACAAAAGGAAUGAAUGCAAGACUUUUUUUGUUAAGUUGAAUCUGUGUUUAUCAGAGCCCUUUCAAAAUGCAAGAGAGGUCACAGCUGUUCUUUUCAUUCACACGUGAUCUGGUAAAACAAACAACAUAUGUAUGGGGCAUAAGAGUUCAGCACUCAGAACAUUGGGAUUUGUAUAUAAAUUUGAAAAUUGUAAAUAACAAAUUGUCUUUAACCUUUAUCUUUCCGCCCAUCAACCUGAUUUGUUAAUAAAGAUUUGUGUUGCAAUUGA